rnacentral:rRNA from 1 species
AACGAACGCUGGCGGCAGGCCUAACACAUGCAAGUCGAACGCUCGUAGCAAUACGAGAGUGGCAGACGGGUGAGUAACACGUGGGAACCUUCCCUAUGGUUCGGAAUAGCCCAGGGAAACUUGGGGUAAUACCGGAUAAGCCCUUCGGGGAAAGAUUUAUCGCCAUUGGAUGGGCCCGCGUCGGAUUAGCUAGUUGGUGGGGUAACGGCCUACCAAGGCGACGAUCCGUAGCUGGUCUGAGAGGAUGAUCAGCCACACUGGGACUGAGACACCGGCCCAGACUCCUACGGGAGGCAGCAGUGGGAAUAUGGACAAUGGGCGCAAGCCUGAUCCAGCCAUGCCGCGUGGGUGAAG